AAACUUUCAACAACGGAUCUCUUGGUUCUCGCAUCGAUGAAGAACGCAGCGAAAUGCGAUAAGUAGUGUGAAUUGCAGAAUUCAGUGAAUCAUCGAAUCUUUGAACGCACAUUGCGCCUCCGGGUAUUCCGGGAGGCAUGCCUGUUCGAGCGUCAU
rnacentral:rRNA from 1 species